ACUCCUACGGGAGGCAGCAGUGGGGAAUAUUGGACAAUGGGCGAGAGCCUGAUCCAGCCAUGCCGCGUGUGUGAAGAAGGUCUUCGGAUUGUAAAGCACUUUAAGUUGGGAGGAAGGGCAGUAAGUUAAUACCUUGCUGUUUUGACGUUACCGACAGAAUAAGCACCGGCUAACUCUGUGCCAGCAGCCGCGGUAAUACAGAGGGUGCAAGCGUUAAUCGGAAUUACUGGGCGUAAAGCGCGCGUAGGUGGUUUGUUAAGUUGGAUGUGAAAGCCCCCGGGCUCAACCUGGGAACUGCAUCCAAAACUGGCAAGCUAGAGUACGGUAGAGGUGUGGAAUUUCCUGUGUAGCGGUGAAAUGCGUAGAUAUAGGAAGGAACACCAGUGGCGAAGGCGACCACCUGGACUGAUACUGACACUGAGGUGCGAAA
rnacentral:rRNA from 1 species